rnacentral:lncRNA from 1 species
CGCUGGGCGACCUUCACUUCCCCCUGGCCAGUGGCUGGAGGCCAGUCCUGGGGAAGGCCCCUCUAAACACCAAGUGGACCAUGAUGAACUGGCAUCUGGGUCCCUGGCAUUCUGGGAGGUCCAUCUUACUGUCUAACCUUAAUCCCUGUUGCUGUAGCCUGGGAAGGAGGAAAUGGCGUUCCUAGAACCACUGCCUUCAACUCACAGCGUCUGUGCUCCUGUCACUCACACUCACACGCAUGCACACACACUCGCGUGAGUGGGGCCAGGAUUCCGCCACAGGUGGGUCUGGCUGGCACCGAGGGGUGCUCCUCCACCUGCUGUUCCCACAGAGAAAUCUAGGUCACUCCAGCCGGGCCCUCCCCUCUAAUUCCUCAGGGAGCCCCUGGUCCAGACAGGCCUGGCUUUCCUCCAGGACUUCCAGCACCCCCACACCUCUCCCCGCUUUCCCGUUCUGCUCAUUCCCGUGAGGUAUGGGAGGAGCGUGGGUGUCUGGGUGUCCCUGAGACCCUAUGUGAGUCUGUGCUACCGGGGCCAGG